UUCAUUUAGUUUAUAUGAAAAACAUUACUCUUUCAAAGUAAAAUACCCUCAGGGAUUGAGC
rnacentral:tRNA from 1 species